rnacentral:rRNA from 1 species
CACGUAGGGCGCAAGCGUUGUCCGGAAUUACUGGGCGUAAAGGGCUCGUAGGCGGCCAACUAAGUCAGACGUGAAAUCCCUCAGCUUAACUGGGGAACUGCGUCUGAUACUGGAUGGCUUGGAUUCGGGAGAGGAAUGCGGAAUUCCCGGUGUAGCGGUGAAAUGCGCAGAUAUCGGGAGGAACACCAAUUGCGAAGGCAGCUCGCUGGGACGUUACUGACGCUGAGACGCGAAAGCGUGGGGAGCAAACAGGG